rnacentral:rRNA from 1 species
UUGCCUACGGGGGGCAGCAGUGAGGAAUAUUGGUCAAUGGGCGGAAGCCUGAACCAGCCAAGUCGCGUGAGGGAUUAAGGCCCUAUGGGUCGUAAACCUCUUUUGUCAGGGAGCAAUGGCGUCCACGUGUGGGCGUAUGGAGAGUACCUGAAGAAAAAGCAUCGGCUAACUCCGUGCCAGCAGCCGCGGUAAUACGGAGGAUGCGAGCGUUAUCCGGAUUUAUUGGGUUUAAAGGGUGCGUAGGCGGAACAUUAAGUCAGCGGUAAAAUCGAGGGGCUCAACCCCUUUAAGCCGUUGAAACUGGG